rnacentral:rRNA from 1 species
AGUCGAACGAGAAUCUACUGAAAGAGUUUUCGGACGAUGGAAGUAGAGGAAAGUGGCGGACGGGUGAGUAACGCGUGAGGAACCUGCCUUGAAGAGGGGGACAACAGUUGGAAACGACUGCUAAUACCGCAUGAAGCAUAGGGGUCGCAUGAUCUUUAUGCCAAAGAUUUAUCGCUUCAAGAUGGCCUCGCGUCUGAUUAGCUAGUUGGCGGGGUAACGGCCCACCAAGGCGACGAUCAGUAGCCGGACUGAGAGGUUGAACGGCCACAUUGGGACUGAGAUACGGCCCAGACUCCUACGGGAGGCAGCAGUGGGGAAUAUUGGGCAAUGGGCGCAAGCCUGACCCAGCAACGCCGCGUGAAGGAAGAAGGCUUUCGGGUUGUAAACUUCUUUUAAGAGGGAAGAGCAGAAGACGGUACCUCUAGAAUAAGCCACGGCUAACUACGUGCCAGCAGCCGCGGUAAUACGUAGGUGGCAAGCGUUGUCCGGAUUUACUGGGUGUAAAGGGCGUGCAGCCGGGUCUGCAAGUCAGAUGUGAAAUCCAUGGGCUCAACCCAUGAACUGCAUUUGAAACUGUAGAUCUUGAGUGUCGGAGGGGCAAUCGGAAUUCCUAGUGUAGCGGUGAAAUGCGUAGAUAUUAGGAGGAACACCAGUGGCGAAGGCGGAUUGCUGGACGAUAACUGACGGUGAGGCGCGAAAGUGUGGGGAGCAAACAGGAUUAGAUACCCUGG